CCCUCUUCUGUAAUUAUGCAGGAGUACAGUUGUACACAAGUAUGGAGACAAUGGGUGCUCACAACUGAUGCAGUGCAGGGGGGCGGUGGGCGUAAACACAUGUGCAUGUUUUCUUUCUCUUUAUUCCCUGAAUAAGAUGCGCACAAUGAAAACUAUUCUCUGGCUUCACGAUUGAAUGAAUUCAAAAGAGUUGACAGUAGCACACACUGUUUUGUAUUCAAAUGGCUCUUUGUGCGCAUUUUUAUCAAGAAUAAGAUUUGAAUGAUAGCAUGCUUUAUGUUCUUCUCCAAACAUAUAGUAGUUACAAAAUAUUUUAGAGCACAUGUGGCGUUGUUACCAUGUGCUUGAGUCAAAAAGUAUUUCUAACUGCUCCAUGAAAGGGGGUGUGGCACUCUGCAAGCCCAUGGGCCACUCUCUCUCUCUGCUUUGAUGGAGGGGUUACAUAACAUAUCCCACCAUCCAGCCAAUAGGUAGCCCAACUCUGAUACAAUCAUCUCACUGAGCUGUCGUGCACGUGCAUGUGUGUUGGGGGGGGGGACGUGUAUGUGUGUCUGCCUCUCCACGCCCCCCAUCUUUCAUCCCAGUCCUCCCAUAGGUUCGGUUCAAAGCACGCACCAAAAUGCCCAGCAAGAGGAAGAAGAACAAGCGUCGCAUGAGGAGGGUGCAGGCCCAGAGGAGAGCCCUCGAAGAGCAGCAUGCAUCCAACCCACCAGUCAAGGCAACCCCCGGGAUUGCAGUGAGUGCGCCCCCUGGAGCAACCCCAAAGAAAGCGACUAAAACUCCAGCACCAAAAAAGAUUCCAGCGGCCGUUCCCAUUGCCGUCCCCAUUGUGGAGACUCCAAAAGUAGAACUAAAACCAGUUGUGAAAGAACCUGUCGCAGUGCCUGUCCCAGUCAGAGUAGAGGCACCAGAACCAGAGCCUGUAGUGUUGGAACAGACACCAGCAGAAGUCAAGGUUGAAGUCCCAGCCCCGGUCACUGAAGCAGCACCAGUCGUUGAGUCUCCACCAGUGGAGUCCACUGUAGUUGAAGCUGAGAUAGUACAGGAGGCUGAACCUAUCAUUCCUGAAACAGAACCAGUACCUGAGGUCAUACCCCCAGCUGAGGCUCCAGUGGAGGCUCCUGCUGGGACUGAGAUUCAGACAGAGGAGACCUUAAUCAUAACCACAGAGACUGAACAGGAUGCUCAAGUCCAAUCUGUGGAAAUCCCAGAGGUGCCAGUCGCCGUCCCUGAGGCUCCGGUUGUAGAGAAUAGUAUAGAAGUCCCUGUAACUGAAGUCAAAGAGGCUCCUGCCACCCUGGAGACUGCCGACAGCCUAGUCGAUGACUUUGUUGUCACAGAAUCUGCCUCUGCAGUGGAGGUUGCCAUUGCUGAGUCUGCUGCUGUCAAGCCGGAAAUUGUUGAAAUUAGUGACACCAUCAACAGCCAAUCAGAAUCUAUGGAUGUGACACCCGCUGAGUCUGAGCCUGCCCCUGUCCCUGCUCCUGUCCCUGUCCCUGCAGAGGAAAUUGUCAUUGAUGCCACUGCUGAGCAGAAAUGUCUGGAUGUGCUGUCAGAAGAGCCUAAGUCAGAAAUCUGUGACAUGCCGUGUCAGAUGCAGCUUGCUGUGGAGUCUGUGGAGAUGUCAGUGGAGGCAUCGCUGAAUGGACACAUUGUUCCAGAGGUCUCCAUUGAGGGCUAGAUGCAUAUCACACAGCUUGGAAGACCUUUUCUAUUCCCCUUUGGUCAUUUGGAGGACUCAAAGCUUUACAGGGAGUCAACCAGCUGGCAUUUUAAAUUUUUUAGGGCUUAUGACAGAACCGCCAGGAAAUUGAAGGGACAUCCACACUUUGAAGUGCCUUUUCCGGCCGUUGUUCCUGUCAAAACACCAAACCAGAUGUCAACACACCAAAACUGAUGCAUUCAAGGCAGCACAACAGACUGUUGUCAUACGUGUGUGGAAAUGGAAACAAACAUAUUGUUGCUCUUUUUUUUGUGUUUCUCCCACAAAGCACAUACAGUGAAUUUGCAUUAGCAGUGGAAGUGGAAGUGCUCAAGAGAUGGAGGUUCCUAAAACAAGAUAAAUGGCAGCGCCUGAUAUUUCUUGGCAUGUUCCCAUCUCUCCAGAACAUCUGCUUCCAUGCUGCAUACACUCAGUGCAUGUGAAUUCUGUAGCACUGAUACAUUUUGCUAUAGUUUGUACUUGAGUCUAUGUUCAUAUGAGUGGGAGGGACAACAUUUCAGAAUCACAGAUUUUGCGCACCAGACCAUUUUUACUCUCAAAGAGACACGUCUGCUAACUUCCACCUUCGCCUUAAUUUCUGUCCCCUUCUCUGUCCUCCAGUUCUCCUCUCUGCCUCAACUAUGUGUCAAUUCUAAGGUUAGUGUGAUGCUAAAACACGGUUCUGGAUUUUAUGGCUGCUGCAGCCUGGAGUUUGAGGGGACAAACUGAGAGGUCAUUUUCCGUUUCUUUUUUUCUCACUUUCUCCUUUUUUAAAUCCAUUUUGUAUAGACCAUAUGAUGUGUUACAGUUUUGUGUUCAAAGCCUGUGCUCUGGAGGGAAAAUGUAAUGUGAUCUGUUCAUGUGGAUCUCUGUUGGGCUGAUUUGAUCCACCUUUGAAAUAAAGCUGUAUCUCAUCGUGAUAAAGGAGUGAUUCUUUUACUUUCUAUGCACCGAGCUCAUGAAAUACACAGAAUGGAGGAGCGAUACUGUAUAUGUGGGCUUCAUUUCCAGUUCCGAUCUGUACUGGCAAUAACAAAAGCUUUUGAUAGCUUUCAAAGAUGCAACAUUUGAAAAAAAAUGUAUUUUCAACUUUGUUUUCUGGCACACGGGAAAUUAGUAAAAUUAAGUUUUGAUCACUAAGAAAUAAUUGUAGCUAAAGGAGGCAAAGAAUAAGCUGACAAAUUGACUAUUAAAAGGUUAAAAAAAAAAAGCCAAAAAAAGGCUUUGACUAUGACAUUUUGCAGUGUUUGCACCCAAGCCUUUUGUUAACCCUGAAGAUUGUCUAAAAGGUCAUGCAUACUUUUAUUUUGACGUUUUGGUACUGGGCUGGGUACAAAAUUACUCUCAACCCUUUACCAUAGAGUAAACUUAAUAGUAAUGUUUUAGACCAUGGAUUAUACUUUUAACUCCAAAAGUGGUAUUAGCAUUUGCUUGGCUAUAUUUUUAAAAACAAACAAUAUUUAAUAAGUAGUUUUAUUCAAAUAAUUAACACUUAGUAGUCACAAUAAAGUCAUACAUGAAGAUGAUUAAAGCUGGAACUAGAAUGAAAUUUAAAAAAAAUCAUAUUCAGUACCAAAGCACACUGAUUGUGAGGUUUCUACCGUCGAAAAAGCAGCAGGUUGUGAAAGUCACUGUGAAUCUUCAAAAUAAAGACAACAAAACAGAUCAAAAGAUUUUUAAUUAUUUGUUUUUGCACAGAAAUCUACAUUCAUAUUAGUAUGAUGUAAUUUGGUACAGUAAACACUGCCGAUGUGUGGUUUUGCAAUCCUCCCUCUUUAUACUAUGAUCAUACUGUCAAAGAGAGUUUUUUUAUUUUUUUAACUUAAGUUUACUGGCCCCUCGCAUUGGAAUUUUAACAAAAUGUCAAAAUGCAAAACAGAAGGAACAACUUCAAUUCUGCCUUAAGAGGAAAAAAGAAACAAAAAGUAACAACAAAAAGACAGACUGAAGAGACAAAUGAUAAACACAUACUGCUUAAUAACAAAGAGGAUAUAUAUUUGUAAAAGCACAUUCGUAUUAAUAGUAGAUGCUUUGGAAUGAAAACAGCAACAAAGAGGCUCACUGUGAUCAGACAACUGUCCAACUUGCACUCAGCACAUUCUUAUAUAUUAUCUGAAUUUUUUUCACUUGUGGCAUUAAUAUGCAUGAGCACAUGUCAUUAUAACCCCAACCCUCCCAAAAACAUAAUAAAUAAGAAAACAGGUGAUUUGAUUGGUCCAUGAGGUAAAAUGUGAAAUAAAAAACUGAGCAAAACAAAUGAGCAAAAAAGUUGGAAAGAUUUUUGAAAAGACAAACAUCCACACAAACAAAACAAAACAAAACAAAAAGUGUGGGAGAGGCUGAAAAAAUGAAAUUAAGAAAGAAAGGAUUGUGAUCGCAGACAAGAAAGCAUGAUGUCCAACAAGGUUAUCUUCCCCCAAGAAAGAAGCACACACACUUACACACACACUCAUACAACCAUUCACGCAGUCAAACCUGAAGCUCAAUAACAAAUCAACUUCCAAAGCUGUAAUCUUAACAAAGCCACUUGAUGGAUGAUAAUAUUUCUAUAUUUACACUGAAGUGAUGAUUAACUGACAAAAAACGCUCAGAACGAACCCAGAAAAUACAAGAAACAGUAAAACCAAUAGUAACCAGAUUAAAUCACCAUAUUCUCUUUUCAUUCCUUCACUUUUUGAUCUCCUCCUAUGCACUGACAAAACAAAAGUCCACUGAAGUAGUGUGCAGGACGUGGGUGGGGAUUACAGAGACAAAGAGAGGGGUUAAUAAUGACAGUGAUGAUGGAGAUGCUCAAAAGCAAUGAGCAGUGUGAACGCUUGGAGGACAUGUAGCCCGCCACUCAGCGCAAUCAGGCAAGUAGACUCUUCUCUGUCUCUGCUACAAGGGAAAGAGCACUUCAUUAAAAGAGCCCCCUGCCCAUUUUGGACUACCCUGGUUUGAAAUCAAGCACACCUAGCUCCAGUUGUUUAGAGGUUUGGUGUGGGAGAGCAUGCAGUUAGCUACACAGUAUAGCCUGAGUGGUUGGAAUUAAAAGAGCACUUCAAAAAAACAACAACAGACGGCCAGCUUGGGUUUAUAUGGGGGGUCCAAAACAAGUUCUGUUCCUUCGUCAGAAGUCAGAAGUUUAGGAUGCAGGUUUUAACAUCAAUCUGAGGAGUGUAUGUAGCAGUAACUGUAAUGGUAGAAGCAGCACUAGUAGUGUUCAGCAGGCAAUAUCCUUGUCUUUCUGGAGAGGAAAUGGCUCAAGAGCAAACCCAACCAAAGUGUUGACCCCCAAAAGGUGCAGCAGUAGCACUUCAAAGAAUUAACGGGUAUCAUCAACAUAUCUACCUUGUUUCAGAAUCCUGGGGAGGUUUUAAUCCUGCUUCUGCAUUAGAGGCGGGAUGGGAGUUUUUUUUGUUCUUGUCCAUUGGUCGCUGUGGCUGGUAUGUUCCAAGAUUCAUCAGCAAUGUUUGUUUAUUUUUGAGGCAACUAAGCUUAAAGGUUUAACAUUCAAUUGAUGUUUUGCAAACUUCAAUGGUGGCUGG
rnacentral:lncRNA from 1 species